GUCGGAAGCAGACCAGAAAGCCGGUAAAGACCAGGCUUGAGAGGACUCUGCUGAGGAGGAGGACUGCAUCCGCUGUCGGACUCCACAUGAUGUGUGCGCGGCUUGGCAGAGAGUCUCUGUGCAUUUUGCUCGUGUCCAGAGACUGCCUGAGACUGACACUAAGGGCAGCCGACUGAUUCAUCUGGCAGAACAGAUUUCAGAACGGUCUGACGUUGGGGUGGUGGCGUGGCUGCCGCUGGGGCUUUCAGCCAGAUCUACGUUGAGAAUGAAAAGCAAAGAGGGCCGGGAUUUAGCUCAGUGGUUAAGGUGCCUGCCUCACAGGUGCAAGGUCCCAAGUUCGAUCCCUGGUACCAAAAAAAAAAAGAAAAGAGCAAAGAACCAGAGCUGAGCAAAAUGAUUCAAAAUGUUUUGAGUUUGGCCGGAAACUGCAAAGAUAGAGUAGAGGAGAUCUUAAUUGCUGAGAAGGAACAGGUGAACAGAAAAGAUGGCCUGAGGGCAUCACAAGAAGCAGCAGGCCUCCACUCUACAGCCUCAAAAUUGCAAAAGUGAGAGACUGCUUGGGAAGAAAGCCCCAGAGCUCCAUGUUCCAGAAUGACAGCAGCCUAGGAAAGUUGCUCCUCAGAAUUUGGUUCAUAGGCACUUGACCCCUACAGAGAAGAGAGAAGGAAGCCUGGCUGCUGCUCCAGCUGGCAGCAGACCUUGGCAUCAUCCACCUGGUGCUGGUUUUAGGCAUACGCAGAAUGCAACGGUUGUGGGGUCAGGAAGGCUUCCACCCAGAUUUCAGAAGACCUGGGAGGCCGGGCAGGGUGCCCCUGGGAGGGCGGAGUGUGAAGCCGUGAGUGUGAAGACGAAGCGCAGUGGAGACCCCAGAAGGUCGGCGACGCCAGGACUGUGGAUCAUCUGAGGAAAACUGCAGGGGGAGCAGAACUGACCCCAAAGAGGAGCCAUGGGUGCCCCAACCACCAGCAGUGCCAUAGGGUGGAGCUGCACAGCCCUUUGGAGCUCACAGCUCGGCACGGCUUGCUGGGGCUGCUGGAAGUGGAGCUGUGGGGUUUAGGGUUUGCCCUGAUGGAUUUCCAUCUUGCAGCUGGGCGUGGUGGUGCACAGCUAUGACCCAGCACUCGGGAGGCUGAGGCAGGAGGAUCACUGCAAGUUCAAGACCAGCCUGGGCUACAUAGGAUUUUCAGCCUUAAGUCUCAGAGACUUGAGAUGUGAACUUCUCAGCAGUGCUGAAACUGUAAGAACUUUGACAACUCCUGGAGAUGGGCUAAUGGGAUAAAGGGACGAGCAUGAGUCCUUGGGGUCCAGGGACAGAAUCUUAAGGCUUGUGCUGUCUAGAUGUCCUCCAAAGCCUCAUACAGUCCUAGGUGGGGCUUUUUCUGGAGGUGACUGAAUCUAGAGUGUGACUGAUCCAUGCAGUGCUAGCCUCAAGGACACUAGGAUUCAGGGUGUGAGUGCCACCCGCCCUGAGUAGUCUGAGUAACACAUAAGGAAUAGAAUGAGUUGUG
rnacentral:lncRNA from 1 species